GAAAGCCGUAUUCGAUGAAAAUCGUAUGUACGGCUUGGAGGGAGAUCUUUCCUAUCUUUCGAGAUCCACCCUAC
rfam:Hordeum vulgare subsp. vulgare, WGS project CAJW01000000 data, contig: morex_contig_1521148